CAACUUGAUCUCUGGUUCCUGGUAGCUUGAAGGAUUUCGAGCAUAACUUUGCUGGCAUGUGAAAUGAAUGCAACUGUAUAGUAGUUUGAGCAUUCCUUGGCAUUGCCCUUCUUUGGGAUUGGGAUGAAAACUGACCUUUUCCAGUCCUGUGG